UGAUGACAUCUUUUUAAUUUGCUGUUACUAGCAGUGGCUUUCUUUAUUACAUAAGUACUACAGAAGUGUCAAACAAUUGCUGAUGAUUGGCAGAAUGUGAGGAGAAAUGAUUUUACUCAGGCAGACUCCAAAGUCAGAGGUGGAGUCUGCUCCUCAUGUGUCGUAAAUGGGGUCUGUAAAGGGAUCAAGAAAGAGUUCCCAUUAGAACCAGCUGUUGAAAGUGAGUACCACGUCUCUGUUCAAAACUGGGCUGAAACCAAGGCAGGAUAUCCACACUGGCUUUGUAACAGCCUUCAGAGAGCCUUUUGCUCAUUACACAACUAGGAAUGCCUCUAAUCCUAUGAUCUAGAGAUAAAAGUCUGUCUCAUUAGCAUAAAAUAUGAAAUUGUAGUUUUUGCCUGCAUGUAUAUAGACAUACAUAUAUUUACAUAUAAAUAUACACAUGCAUGAAUACUUUUCCAGCUCAAGAGUAUAUUUCUGCUUAAGUUUUAAGUACUUUCCAUAAAUUAUUAAAAGUCUGGUAGCAAAGAAUGGAAAUACAUUCCUCAAUGUACAUGAAGCAUGAUAAAAGCAUACCUUUCUUUUCUGUUGCAUUAUUGUGGAAUUAGUGUGGAUCUUCCAAAAGCCCACUGUGAUAAAGCUACUGCUUUACUAGUUCCUAUUGCCCAUGGUCAGCAUUCUGAUACAGUAUCUUUAAUUGAUUAUAAGUUUAGAUUUCUGAGAAACAUACUUUAUCUGCAUCUAUCUGCCAUUAUUUGCAGUUUCAUAACCUGACAAACAAUUUUAUCUCCUCUCUAAAAAUUUUAAGCAUUUUUUUAUUUUAGCUGAAGAAUAAUGAAGAAUUGUAUCUCCUUUUAACUUAUAACUAUGUAUCUCAGCUUUACUAAAGCAGAAAGAAGUACAUUUAUAGAAUGGAGAGAUUUGUACAAAUUAUGCAGAAAGCCCAGGCCAUUUCAGGGAACAAGCAGCACCUAGAAAAAGAACUGCCAAGCUACUGUUCUUCAUAAAGAGUAAAUCUGAAAUUCUGUAGAAGCAAUCAGGACGUUGAGGAUUCAGAUACAAGAACUGCCUAAAAAUACUUCAUGGAAUGAUUUCAUCUAUGAAGGAGAUAAUAGCUCCUGUCAACAAGUUACCGAAGUUUUUUGCUGUGAGAGACCUUAUUUAAGAAUAUGAGCGGUACUCAGGUUUGGUAUCCUCCAUACAUGCUGAGCUCUGGAAAAGCCUUGCAGAUGGGAAUAGAGAGCAACAGCAUGAUUCUGUUAGUCAUGGGAAUUUAGCUGUGCUCAUUAUCCAUCAUCUACUGAUACGGUUUCUCUUCUAGCAGGAAGACCAGAAUUCUGACCUUGACAGGCCAGAGGAAGAAAAUACCCUUGCGGAAGAGAGCUCCUUUUUUUAAGUUGAUACAAUAACUGAACUUAAUACCCAAGAUUCUCCUGCUUUUGUAGUGUUCUCUGCAGGUUUCAAAAACUUUUCCAUGACAAGUCUUUCAGGUAUAAGUGUCCUCUUAUUUCCUAAAGCUCUGAAUCUUUUCCCAGAAACAAACAAGGAAUAGAAAAGAUAUUCUGCAUGAAAAAAUAUUCUUUAACCAAUUUGAAAAUGUUUAGCAGUACAUGUUUACUUGAGUAGCUUUGUAGAUUAAAACUGUAGAUAUUUUAAAAUGUGAAUAAUCUUCCACUAAAACAUGCUUCAGUAGUUCUGACUAACAAAAAUUUGGUUUCAAAAUACA